AGUGCGAUCGGUUCUCAUGCAACAUUCUCACUGAUGGAUGGAUGGAUGGGAAUGUAGUCCUUCUCUUCACUUUGUAGUAAAGCUAUACCCUUAUGAAGUUUACCCUUUACACGUUAUUUUUUCUAAAGCGUAACCUUCACUCCUCAGAAACUUUCCGAAAAAUAUCAGGAUGAAUUAUCAUGUGAUAUUUUUGUUGAUGGUUUUGAAUUUUCUGCCCCAGACAUUGAGCCUAGAUGUGUCCUGUGAUCCUUUUAACCAGACAGCUACUGUAAGCAACACUGCUGCACUUGUGUGUAAGAUGGCCAACUCAGAUGGAGGUGAAGUAGCAAGAAUUGUAUGGACCAACAAAGACGAUGAUAUAAUUUACAACUACGUUCCCAGUCAGCAACAUUUCAGGAGACAAAAAAGAGAGAAAAGUAGAUUUGCUGUUAAUGAGGAGAGCUUGAAAAAUGGGAACAUCGUUCUCUGGAUCAGUGAAGUCAUGAGUUCGGAUGGUGGGAUCUAUCACUGUACAGUGAUAACCGAGGAGGAGUUUGUCACCAAAAGCAUAAACCUUUUGGUGCAAGUGUCCUUGCCAAGGCAAAGAUGAUGCUGAAGAACUAACUGGUGGAGGACCUACUACAUCAAAAUGGCUGACUGCUAUUUCCUAAGACCAGGUCAAUGAAGAUUUAGCUCCAACAUAUGAAGAACAUCACAAUGUUACUGUUGGUCCUGAAAGGAGUAAUUCACUCAUUAUCGUAAUUCUUCUGGUGGGGAUUACAUCUGUGCUAGCAUUAAUUCUUAUUGUUUUGUUUAAAUAUAAAAAACGUUUUCAAGUAAAGGAUCCAUUCAUCCAGUUACUGAAUCCAUCCAUCCAUCCAUCAGUUGCUGAACCCAUUUAAUCCAAUUAGCCCAUCCUCAUAGCAAGAAUAAGACCUGUACAAGAUAGCAGACCAUUUCAAGGACGCACUCGCUCACCCGCCACAGCAGGCUAGUUCUAAUUACCAUUAUGGUGAAACACACAUCUUCACUUUAGAAGUAUACAGAAUAUUAAGCCAGUCGAGUGACGCUACUAAUCACUCAGUUGCAUGAAAGACAAAGACACUGAAGCUCUUUAACUAGAGACUUGUAGAAAAGGGCCACAAUUCUGCAGAUUCGCUUAUACCUCAAUACACACACACGCGCCUAUGAUAUGUCCAGGGACUUCUAGCCAAAGUGCUACAAGUGUUCCAGUAAAUGGCACUGACAUGAAAUGCUGCAUAGAUCUCCAUAAAUGUCUAAUAAGCUGUGUUGUAACAUUUAAGCCUUCUUAGAUAACUACCUCUGUCAUACUGCACUUUAUUACUGCACAUAUUUAGAUUGAAUUUUUUAUACUAAUAUACAAAAUGCACAAGGUAUUUUUCCAAUUAAUAAAAAUUUAAAAAAUAACAUAAACACAAACAAACUUGUAAAAAAAAAAAAUUAGGAAAACUGCCUAAUUUUCCACAGUAUUAAGAAAUGCAUACAGAAGAAGAAACGAAGAAUUGAAAAGUACAAGAAAGAGGAAAACAUUUCACAUUCUUUUAUCUCAGAUAUCCAGUGGGAAUUAUAUUUAAAUGUUUUGGAUUAUAAUAGGGAAAACAAAAAGUUGUUUGUUGUGCAAUGAUUUGUUAUUGGGUGGACCAGAAGAACGAUUACAUGUACUGAAACUCCAUUUGCGUAAAAUGAGAGAAGUGAAGUGUGCUUCUUAAGAAUCCGGAAUGAAAAACUGGCGUACCUGGCGUACCACUAUCAUAAUGUGAAGGAGGAUUUGCUUUGAAAUGCUGUUUUCGUUGAAAACCUACAAACUCGUAAUGUCCUGGAAUGAAAACAGAGUCGUUGUGAAAGUUUUUCAAAGAUUCUUUAGGAAAAUGGGACAUUCUUCUCAGGACCUCUGGAAGUUAAUUUCUUUGAUAUGUUUUAUAGAUUCAAGAAUGUUAACUGUACCCCCCAAAGUAAAAAAAAAUUAGGCAUCUAUAGAUGUUAUGCUGAUACUUAACUUAUGUUAAGAAGAAGAAAACAUAGACUCAUCACACACUCUGCCUAAUCUGCUCCUAGUCCUGUCUAGAUAAAAUAUUCUUUUGAUUUUUGUGGUGGUUGAAUUAAGCAGCUGUCCAUCCUGAAAACAAUGAAAGCUCUUCCUAUCCUUUUCGCUCACAGCUACUUCAUCAAUAAUGUGUCCUCACUCCAGUACAUCCGCUAUCCAUAGAUUCAUAAGCCUACUUUGAUACUUCUGAUUUACAGUGCAAGUCCACAAGGUUGACCUAAUCUGGACAUUUCUGCUAUACUCAUAACAUGCAGACAGUAAGGCUAUACUCAUUAAAGGUUUCACAAUCACCCCUACCUCCUAAUAGAUCACCUCACUUCUUUAGAUGGUGGCUCUGGAUUCCAGCAUAAGGUUUUAGAGGUACUUCUCAUUUCAUUUAGGCACUUAUUUACAACCCAUAACUGAAACAAUCAUCAUCAUAAUAAUAAUAAUUCUUUGCAUUUAAAUAGCGCUUUUCUCACUACUCAAAGCACUUGGCAAUUGCAGGUUAAGGGCCUUGCUCAAGGGCCCCACGGAGCAGAGUCCCUUUUGGCAUUUUACGGCAUCAUCAUUAUUUCUAUGGAAAAGGGAAAACCCAUUCAACAAACAGUACAACUUUCAAAAUGCAUUAACAACAUAAACACAGUGCUCACGUUUUUUUAGAGAAUUUUUUUUCAGGAGUAUGAAAUGUAGUAAAACCACCCAUCACCAUGAUUGGGAGCAAAUGGGUUUGAGAGUGUUCUGUUAAAGUAUCAUGAGGUGUUAUGUUGGCUGUGCUAUGUUAGAUGAUUUUGGAAAGUGAUUUUCUAAGCAAUUGAAAUGUAUGCUAUUUAUUUGACCUGGCAAAAUAAAUGAAUUAUUAAAAUUAUAUUAUGGCGUAUACAGUGCAUGUAUACUGUAGGUAUUCCAAAGAUAUACAUGCUAAUUUAUCCCAUACGGAUUUUGUGUGUGAAGGAGUAUGUGAGUGGCUCCUGCAGUGAAGUUGUUUCCUAUGUACUGUUGUAUCUCAGUAGGUGUUCAGUGCUGCCAGCAGACUGGUCUCUAAAGUGUGUGUGUGUGGGGAGGUAUUAGUAAACCAGCCCCUUCUCCUCCACCUGCAAACACUGUUUAUACUCUCAAAGAUAUAAAUUCGAACAUGUUCAAAUAUUUGAAAUAACACACACACACAAACACAAAAGCUCAUAUUUUCAUUUAUAAUGAGUAAAAUGAGACCCACGGCCCCAGUGGACCUUCCGUCUCAACCACUCGUUCAUUGUGAUGGCCUUGUCUGAUACAACUGGCUCUGCUCACUGCUAUCCCAAAUUAGAUUAAGCAGGUUUGAGAAUGUUAUGCUUAAGUGACUUAUGUAUUCUGUUGUAUUCUAUUAUAUAUAUCCUGUAAUAAGAAUGAUUUACAUUUUUAUUAUUAGUUUUCUGAAAGUUAAAAAUAUUGCAUAUGCAUAACUUAGGAAUAGUCAUUAGUGAUGGGUGCCUAUGUAUGGUUCUGGUGUACUACAAAUUGAGUGUUUCUCUAACAUCUGCUUGUAACAUGUACCCAUCAAACUAUUCAAACUAUAUUGUUUAAAUUUAGUGCUUAAAUGACUUUAUCUACUCAGGUCUUGAUAAACUGUGAUUUUUCUUCCACUUUGGAGUUUUGCUAAGGAGAGAUAUUAUAUCUUAUAUAAAUUGGGUCAUACCAAAUUGUAAGGAUUGCUUUUAAUAAAUGACUUCAACUAUUUCAA